rnacentral:rRNA from 1 species
AGAGUUUGAUCAUGGCUCAGAUUGAACGCUGGCGGCAUGCCUAACACAUGCAAGUCGAACGGAAACGAUGGGAGCUUGCUCCCAGGCGUCGAGUGGCGGACGGGUGAGUAAUAUUUAGGAAUCUACCCAGUAGCGGGGGACAACUCGAGGAAACUCGAGCUAAUACCGCAUACGCCCUACGGGGGAAAGCAGGGGAUCUUCGGACCUUGCACUAUUGGAUGAGCCUAAGUCGGAUUAGCUUGUUGGUGAGGUAAAGGCUCACCAAGGCGACGAUCCGUAGCUGGUCUGAGAGGACGAUCAGCCACACUGGGGCUGAGACACGGCCCAGACUCCUACGGGAGGCAGCAGUGGGGAAUAUUGGACAAUGGGGGCAACCCUGAUCCAGCAAUGCCGCGUGUGUGAAGAAGGCCUGCGGGUUGUAAAGCACUUUCAGUAGAGAAGAAAAGCCUACGGUUAAUACCCGUAAGUCUUGACGUUACCUACAGAAGAAGCUCCGGCUAACUCCGUGCCAGCAGCCGCGGUAAUACGGAGGGAGCGAGCGUUAAUCGGAAUUACUGGGCGUAAAGCGCGCGUAGGCGGCUUUGUAAGUCGGAUGUGAAAGCCCUGGGCUCCACCUGGGAAUGGCAUUCGAUACUGCAGAGCUAGAGUAUGGUAGAGGGAAGUGGAAUUUCCGGUGUAGCGGUGAAAUGCGUAGAUAUCGGAAGGAACACCAGUGGCGAAGGCGACUUCCUGGGCCCAUACUGACGCUGAGGUGCGAAAGCGUGGGGAGCAAACAGGAUUAGAUACCCUGGUAGUCC